UACGUAGGUGGCAAGCGUUAUCCGGAUUUAUUGGGCGUAAAGGGAACGCAGGCGGUCUUUUAAGUCUGAUGUGAAAGCCUUCGGCUUAACCGGAGUAGUGCAUUUGAAACUGUUGGUCUUGAGUAUCGGAGAGGCAGGCGGAAUUCCUAGUGUAGCGGUGAAAUGCGUAGAUAUUAGGAGGAACACCAGUGGCGAAGGCGGCCUGCUGGACGACAACUGACGGUGAGGCGCGAAAGCGUGGGGAGCAAACAGG
rnacentral:rRNA from 1 species